AUAUUAUUAUCUCAAGUGAAUUUUAUCUGAUAAAUUUAUCUGAUUUUAUAUGAAAGAAACAAAAUAUCAAAAGACUUACUCACUUGAGAUUAUUGAUCGUAUGAUUCAUCCUUACACGAGAUUAUUUUAUAGAAUGUGAUAGAAUUAGUAUCGUAGAACUUGAAAUUUCAUUAACAAGAUUUGAAAUCCUACACGGAAAAAUAAAGAAAAAUAGAAAUUUGAUUUUGGGUAUAGACUAAACCAUCCGUUUAUAUAAAUGCUCUAGGAAUUUGUAGCUCUCCAAUAUGCAUGCAUGCUUCUUCUUUUGUCAACAUCGAGACGGCUGGAAAUGGUCAAGAACUUUGCUAGUUUUUAAUCAAAAUGUAAAAAUGGCGGAAGGAAUCAUAACACAGUAAGAAUGAAUUCAUGAUUGAAGGAAAUGACAUGAAAUUCAUACUCAUAGCUAACAACUGACGACACCCGCGUGACAGCUGAGAAGUUGCUCUGUUUCACAGAGCCCUAGACUUUCACUUGAAUGUGAGUCUCUGAAUCCAAGUUGCACUUGAACUUCUUCUUCUUUCAGAAGUAGGGAUUAGACGUCAAAGUAGCGGUAGACCUGCCAAUGCUCUCAAUGAGCAAAACCAGAUGGUGGUUGGCGAGCUUUGCCUUGGCGUGUUCCUCCAGGUGUUGUUCGAUAGAUUGGCCUCUUGUGAGCUUCUCAGCCUCCUACGGCGGCGAGGCAGGCUUGGGAUCGAACCGAAGCCAGGCAAGUGGAGGAAGAUCAUGGUGCCCAUUCGGACAAUUCUGGAAGACGCAGAGGAGACGAAUUCUCUGCUGAGAUGUGUUGCGAUAGAGUGCAAGGUGAACAGUUAUGCGUUAUGCUCCUACUUGGUUUUUGAUGAGCUUGAACUUGACGGCGCUCAAGUUCGAUCUUAACAUGGCCUCCAACGAUUUUCACAGCUAAUCGAGCUUUCUGUUGUCAAAUGUCCUAACUUUACAGAACCUUACAUGACCAGCUCCCUUCACUGAACAAAAUGGUAACCCAAGAUUGUGGAAUGUUGGUUGCCUCAACUGCAGGACUGUUGUCUCCAGGAAUGUUGGUUCCUCGAGCCUAUCUGCAUCUAUGACUCAAAACCUGAGUUCCAUACCAGAAGGCAUCCAUGACCUCAACAGUCUCAGAGAGGUCGGGAUUAGUUGGGUCCCAAGCAUACUUUGUUGAAGGAGGGUUUCCUAGCUCGUCUUAGGGAGUUCUAGAUAUAUGAUUGCAACAAACUCAAUGCCCUGCCAAAUCACAUGUACAACCUCACUUCUCUUCGACAAUUAUGGAUGAUUAAAUGUGCAGGGUUGUCAACUUUUCCAUCGAAGGGUAACCUUACUCUGGAGUAAGGAUGUCACAAUAUUCAAGCACCUUUUUGAUGGGGUUUGCACAACUCAAAAUCCUUAGAGAACUCAGGUUCGGACAUGUCCUGAUUUGGUGCCUCCAGCCGGUGAGAAAGGGAUCGCCUCUGCUGCUUCCUGCCUCUUAGACGAGCUUGAUUGGUGGAGAUCUUCCGAAGCUGAAAUAUCUAUGUUCCAGAGGUUUUCAAAAACUUGCCUCCCUUUGGUAUGUGAAUGUCUUCAACUGACCCGUACUUGCUUCCUUUCCAAAGCUGGCCUGUUUCUGUUUCCCUCGCUUCAGCAGCUGCAUAUCUCUAAUUGUCCUCUAUCGCAACGGUGAUAUAGGAAGAAGAAAGAAUGAGAGAUCAGCAUUAUGGACCUUGCUUUUUACAUUGAAAUUGGCGGAAGGUUCAUCAUUGAGGGACCUAUCUAUUUUAAGACGAAAUUUCUACCUCUAGAAUAUGUUGCUUUUAUGUUUUUUCAGCCUUAUAUUCCGUGCUUCUUGUAUGCUUUUUCUUCUUGAUGUACUGAUCAGGCAAAUGGAAUCUCUUUUUUCCUCUAAA